AUAAUUUUGCCAAUGUUCACUCAAAAACAAAGGUGCAUAAGAUCAGAUCAGUGAGGCCUACGAUCAAUAAGUUCCAAAAAGUAAUACGAAACCCAUGCAAAAUCAAAGAAAACAAGUUGAUAAAAAGAUUGAAUCCAAUAAGCAAUAUUUGGAGGC